rnacentral:rRNA from 1 species
UAAGUAACGAUAAAGCGGGUGAAAAGCCCGCUCGCCGGAAGACCAAGGGUUCCUGUCCAACGUUAAUCGGGGCAGGGUGAGUCGACCCCUAAGGCGAGGCCGAAAGGCGUAGUCGAUGGGAAACAGGUUAAUAUUCCUGUACUUGGUGUUACUGCGAAGGGGGGACGGAGAAGGCUAUGUUGGCCGGGCGACGGUUGUCCCGGUUUAAGCGUGUAGGCUGGUUUUCCAGGCAAAUCCGGAAAACUAAGGCUGAGGCGUGAUGACGAGGCACUACGGUGCUGAAGCAACAAAUGCCCUGCUUCCAGGAAAAGCCUCUAAGCAUCAGGUAACAUCAAAUCGUACCCCAAACCGACACAGGUGGUCAGGUAGAGAAUACCAAGGCGCUUGAGAGAACUCGGGUGAAGGAACUAGGCAAAAUGGUGCCGUAACUUCGGGAGAAGGCACGCUGAUAUGUAGGUGAAGUCCCUCGCGGAUGGAGCUGAAAUCAGUCGAAGAUACCAGCUGGCUGCAACUGUUUAUUAAAAACACAGCACUGUGCAAACACGAAAGUGGACGUAUACGGUGUGACGCCUGCCCGGUGCCGGAAGGUUAAUUGAUGGGGUCAGCGCAAGCGAAGCUCUUGAUCGAAGCCCCGGUAAACGGCGGCCGUAACUAUAACGGUCCUAAGGUAGCGAAAUUCCUUGUCGGGUAAGUUCCGACCUGCACGAAUGGCGUAAUGAUGGCCAGGCUGUCUCCACCCGAGACUCAGUGAAAUUGAACUCGCUGUGAAGAUGCAGUGUACCCGCGGCAAGACGGAAAGACCCCGUGAACCUUUACUAUAGCUUGACACUGAACAUUGAGCCUUGAUGUGUAGGAUAGGUGGGAGGCUUUGAAGUGUGGACGCCAGUCUGCAUGGAGCCGACCUUGAAAUACCACCCUUUAAUGUUUGAUGUUCUAACGUUGACCCGUAAUCCGGGUUGCGGACAGUGUCUGGUGGGUAGUUUGACUGGGGCGGUCUCCUCCUAAAGAGUAACGGAGGAGCACGAAGGUUGGCUAAUCCUGGUCGGACAUCAGGAGGUUAGUGCAAUGGCAUAAGCCAGCUUGACUGCGAGCGUGACGGCGCGAGCAGGUGCGAAAGCAGGUCAUAGUGAUCCGGUGGUUCUGAAUGGAAGGGCCAUCGCUCAACGGAUAAAAGGUACUCCGGGGAUAACAGGCUGAUACCGCCCAAGAGUUCAUAUCGACGGCGGUGUUUGGCACCUCGAUGUCGGCUCAUCACAUCCUGGGGCUGAAGUAGGUCCCAAGGGUAUGGCUGUUCGCCAUUUAAAGUGGUACGCGAGCUGGGUUUAGAACGUCGUGAGACAGUUCGGUCCCUAUCUGCCGUGGGCGCUGGAGAACUGAGGGGGGCUGCUCCUAGUACGAGAGGACCGGAGUGGACGCAUCACUGGUGUUCGGGUUGUCAUGCCAAUGGCACUGCCCGGUAGCUAAAUGCGGAAGAGAUAAGUGCUGAAAGCAUCUAAGCACGAAACUUGCCCCGAGAUGAGUUCUCCCUGACUCCUUGAGAGUCCUGAAGGAACGUUGAAG